AUGCCAUCGUGCAAUUUUCAUUUAUGUACCAUUUCUUAGCUCUCCAACUUUUGAUAUUUCUUUUUUCAUCUCUGAAAAGCCCCUACUAUUCCACCAAUUUCUCUUCGAUUCGUAUCGCUUUUUUUAUGGAGUGAUUCCUCUUCAUCAAUUCUACACAACAUUUGAUAUUGGGUGGUUGCUCAUAUGGAGUGUAAAUGUUGAAUAUCUCUUGCUUGUCCUCUACCCUCAAUAUCAACUCACCUUCUCCAUGUCAAAUAAAUUUCAUCCUAUUGCUUAAAAUGGUCCACACAAUAUAAUUGAAAUUUCUCUAUCUUCUUCUAUGUCCAUCACUAUGAAACCCAGUGGGAAUAUUAGAUUUCCUACUUUUAUGAACACAUCAUCAACUUUGCCUCGUGGUCGCGAAAGGGUUCUAUCAAUAAGCUGUAGUGUUAUUUAUAUUGAUUUGACUUUAUCCAAUCCCAAUUUCCUAUAAAUAGAAUACGACAAUGAUUUACACUAGCACCUGUAUCACACAUAGCACUAUUAGAAUAAGAAUUUUCCAUUGAAAUUGGCAAAGUAAAAUUCCUUGGCUCUUUUAACUUCGGAGGUAAUUUGUCUUGUAGACGUGCACUACUUCCUUCUUUUAGUGCCAUAUUUUCAAACUUUACAAGCUUUCUUUUCUUUGUCUACAUAUCUUUCAAAAAUUUCGUGUAUCUUGAUAUUUGUAAUAUCACAUCAAUGAACAUAAUAUUGAUCCGGAGCUUUUUCAAAGUUUGUAUCUUUCUUAUUCUUCUCAAGCCUUUGUGGAAAAGAAAUAGGAUGCAAAUAAGUCUAAACUGGGUUGGGUGCUCUAACUAUGGACAUUUCUUUAGUUUCUUCCUUCUCAAUUGAGAUUGGCAUAGAUUUUUCUUCCAUUUUAUCUUCGUCAACCUCUUCCUGCUCAUCUUUUCUUUUUUGUUCUUUCACAGUAAUCUCUGGUAAUUGUACUCCACUCCUUGUAGUUACAACAUGAAUUCCUCCUUCGACUUCUUUAGAAAUCUUUGGGAAAAUAAAAGUGAAGGUAUGUAUCCUUUAACUUUUAUAAGCACCCUAGGUGGAUCCUUUUGAUUCGUAGUUGUUUGUUUUUUGGCUCUAUGAUGACAACUGAAAGGUAUCCUAUGACGUUCACCAAGCACACAAUGAUCAUAAAUUGUAUGUCGGACACAUGAUCCUUACCAAACACAUCCUUAUCAUUAAGGAACUUAAAUCCCUUAACGCUAAUGUAAUAUUUGCCACUUCGGUUCAUGAUCAAUUUCAGUGAUAGUAGAAUUUGAAUCACCUAUCACUUAAGCAUG
rnacentral:lncRNA from 1 species